rnacentral:rRNA from 1 species
AUUGAACGCUGGCGGCAGGCCUAACACAUGCAAGUCGAACGAGUGGCGGACGGGUGAGUAAUGUCUGGGAAACUGCCUGAUGGAGGGGGAUAACUACUGGAAACGGUCACUAAUACCGCAUACCAUCAGAUGUGCCCAGAUGGGAUUAGCUUGUUGGUGGGGUAACGGCUCACCAAGGCGACGAUCCCUAGCUGGUCUGAGAGGAUGAACAGCCAAACGGGAACUGAGACACGGUCCAGACGCCGACGGGAGGAAGCAGUGGGGAAUAUUGCACAAGGGGCGCAAGCCUGAUGCAGCCAUGCAGCGUGUAUGAAGAAGGCCUUCGGGUUGUAAAGUACUUUCAGCGGGGAGGCGUUACCCGCAGAAGAAGCACCGGCUAACUCCGUGCCAGCAGCCGCGGUAAUAC